rnacentral:rRNA from 1 species
GACGAACGCUGGCGGCGUGCCUAAUACAUGCAAGUUGAGCGCUGAAGGUUGGUACUUGUACCGACUGGCUGAGCAGCGAACGGGUGAGUAACGCGUGGGGAAUCUGCCUUUGAGCGGGGGACAACAUUUGGAAACGAAUGCUAAUACCGCAUAAAAACUUUAAACACAAGUUUUAAGUUUGAAAGAUGCAAUUGCAUCACUCAAAGAUGAUCCCGCGUUGUAUUAGCUAGUUGGUGAGGUAAAGGCUCACCAAGGCGAUGAUGCAUAGCCGACCUGAGAGGGUGAUCGGCCACAUUGGGACUGAGACACGGCCCAAACUCCUACGGGAGGCAGCAGUAGGGAAUCUUCGGCAAUGGACGAAAGUCUGACCGAGCAACGCCGCGUGAGUGAAGAAGGUUUUCGGAUCGUAAAACUCUGUUGGUAGAGAAGAACGUUGGUGAGAGUGGAAAGCUCAUCAAGUGACGGUAACUACCCAGAAAGGGACGGCUAACUACGUG